GAUGAACGCUGGCGGCGUGCCUAAUACAUGCAAGUCGAGCGAACAGACGAGGAGCUUGCUCCUCUGACGUUAGCGGCGGACGGGUGAGUAACACGUGGAUAACCUACCUAUAAGACUGGGAUAACUUCGGGAAACCGGAGCUAAUACCGGAUAAUAUAUUGAACCGCAUGGUUCAAUAGUGAAAGACGGUUUUGCUGUCACUUAUAGAUGGAUCCGCGCCGCAUUAGCUAGUUGGUAAGGUAACGGCUUACCAAGGCAACCAUGCGUAGCCGACCUGAGAGGGUGAUAGGCCACACUGGAGCUGAGACACGGUCAAGACUCCUAAGGGAGGCAGCAGUAGGGAAUCGUACGCAAUGGGCGAAAGCCUGACGGAGCAACGCCGCGUGAGUGAUGAAGGUCUUCGGAGCGUAAAACUCUGUUAUUAGGGAAGAACAAAUGUGUAAGUAACUAUGCACGUCUUGACGGUACCUAAUCAGAAAGCCACGGCUAACUACGUG
rnacentral:rRNA from 1 species